UCGGGUGAGUUCCGGGGUUGCUCUGGGCAGCAGAGGGGUCCGGAAUGCCUGUGUGUUCUGCGGGGUCAGCGUGGCCCCUGCAUGAGCUGAGGUGCACAGGUGCUGGGGCUUGUGGUAGCCAACGCCUCGUGUUUAUUGUUUCUCCGUUUGUGACCCCUCAUCACUCCACGCUGGCAACUUCCAGAGCCCGUCCCCACCGCUGGGCCUGCCUCCCAUCUUCAGGGAGAACGCCACCCAUCCUGUUCAGAAAUGAAGUGUCUGCUUUAAUCACUGGCUGAGAGCCAUAGGAAGGUGAGACCCAGGGAUGGACGGUGUUGGGGACAAGCCCCCCCAGCCCAGCCCUCAGUCUCACCUACGAACUAAGGUUGGGACCAAACUGGGGGCCUUGGAUGUGGGUCCCUUCUGGAGCCCGAUCGGGAGGGGAGCGUCGAAUCUGCUGUGGGUGAGGCUGUAAGGAGUCCUACGGCCUGUGGGUGGCUGGAAAGAGGCCCCGGUCAUCCCGAGGGCCAGCCAGGGACCCGCUGACCGCAGAUGCACACCUGAGCCCCGCUCGACGGGCAGCACCUCCGGCCAACACAACAGCUUCAAGGCUGUUUGCGACGCGGCGUUAUUGUGGUGACUGACACAGCUCUGGGAGCAGAAUUCGGCCUGCAGGCCUCCUGUUUGUGACCCCUGGCCCCGGGCGGUUUCCAAAACUUCUUCCUCGUCAGGACCCCACUCUAAGAGAAAACACUUCGCGGCACAUUCUCUGGCCCCAUAGGGCUCUACGGCCACGGAAUGUAACGGCACCGGGGUGUUUUGCUGUCCUCUCGCCUCGCGGUCACGGCACACCAGCGUGCAGGGCCACGCGGGGCCACCUCUCCCGCUGGGGUGCAGGCAUGAGAGUGCUCGUGGCCCGGAGCCGAGGGUGCCAGGAGAGGAGACGGGCGAGCCAAGCGGAACAGCCGUCCGUGAGUCACAGUUCCAGAAAACCAGCAAAUGGCCCAGCACCUGCUCACCCACCCCCACCUGCACCUGCCAGCAUCACCCGGGGUCUUGGCCGCUGCACAGUCAGGGUGGGACCCGCCCAAACUGACCACCCCUCCAGGAGAAAGUGACAGAUGUUUGCGCCCGUGGGUUCUGUUCCCCCACCAACAGAUGUCGGGACAUGAAAAAUUGGGGUAAAUGAAGGGUGGGUGAUUCGGUCGGGCCCAAGCUGGGUCCUCGUGGGUGCCAGAGACAGCUGCAGAUGCACGUCGGGGACAAUUGCCCCGAUGCAGCGGGGGCUGCCAAGCCAGGGUGCCUGGGGACAGCUGGACGAGGUGCCGACGCGGGGCUCAUUCCUCCGUGAAGCCGCCCGCAGCUGCUGGGAGUUCGGCCAGCCCGUGGGCCUGUGUGCGCCUCGGCUCUGGGCUGCACCGGAGGAGCUGUGGAUGGGCCCCCCCCAGGACGGGCCCCCCUGCAGGGAUUCUGGCUUGUCCGCGGGUCUCCCUGACACCAGCCCCGGUCUUGAGCUGACGGAUCCUCUCAGGGAAGCCUCCCUGUCUCCCCUCUCGUCUUUUUCUGGGCUCUUCCUCUCUGGCUCUGGCCACGCGGGGCUCCGUACCAGUCCCUCUGUAACCAGCUUGACUUUUUCUUGUAUGGUUUUUGGCUUGCAAAUGUAGGCGUAGGAGCCCCGUGCCCCGGGCUCCUGGUGUGGGUGAAGGGUUGUUCUGGAGAGACCCUCGUGUGCCGGAGCCAUCCUGUGCCUCCCCAGCACGAGCCUCAAGGUUUACAAAACAAGAUGCGUUUUUGAGCGGAGUGCCUCCUUGGACCAUCAGAUGCACCCACAUCUAAAUACGCGAAAGCCCUAAGAUGCCCCCUAAUCUAGCUGAAGAGGCAGAAACAGGCAAGCACGGAGCCCCGCUCUGUGAGGUCCGCUCUCACGUGGGUUCUGGCCCCUCAGACUCGCUGGACGUCUGCAGUCAGCUCCCAGCAAGGCGGGUCCCGGAGGAAAUAGAACAUGAGCUCCCAGAAGACCUCUCUGAUGGCCUCGCCCACCCUGGGUAAACCCGGAGAGGGAGCCUGGAGCCCAGGGAGCUGGAUGCUGGACAAGGGCCCUUUUCUGCUCUGCACAAUGCCCCAUUGUGCCCUUCUCUGGGGAGAACAAUGCAACUCGGCCGGGGGAAGCUGAGGACAAAGGGCCCUUUGUGAGGCCUGUCCCCACCUGAAAGCGGCACCCAGGGUCACACCUGAUGGCAGGGCUGUCCUUCCGUGCCUUCCGUCCCCUGAGCACCUCCCGCAUCCGGGGAAUGCCGGGACACUCGAGCGGGCUCAGGGUGAGGGGCGCUAGAUUCUCCCUGCUCUCCCAAACAGCUGUGCUGGCCCAUCCCAAGCGCAGGACCUGGAUGCUGGAGAGGAGAGGUGCAUUGUGGGUUCGCCUGGAAGGACCUGGAAUAACUGUCCCUCUGAUCCCCAAGGAUGGGAGCUCUUGGGCACACGCCUCUCCCCUGAGGGCUUGCCAGGAUGCAGAAGGUGUUUGUCCCCACCCCCCCCCCCGGCCAAUCUGUUACAUGUCCCACUUCACCCUUAAGCUCCGAAGGGAGGGUUUUUUCAUGGCAAGAAAAAAAAAGUGGGGGGCACUUUUUAAAAACCUCACACUAUAUGAUGCAUGUAUGUGCUAUUACCCCAACAAUGCAGGUGGGGGGCAGCUAGCUGGAGGCUGAAGAAGGGUUCAUGGAGCGCACCCUGCAUACGGUAAAGACAUAAUUAAACAAGCAAGAAAGACUGAUCGUUUGA